rnacentral:lncRNA from 1 species
CAUUUAAGUUAUGCAGUUUUUUUUAAAGUAUGUAGUGUGAUUUUUUUCACUUAUUGUCACUUUAAUAUAAUGUCAUGAUCAUUUUAAGUCAGUAGUCCUACUGAAAGAGUAAAGUUUUGGUAUUUGUAUUUAUUCAUGCCUAGUUAAAUUUAACAGCAACAUGAAAUAAAUGAUUACCUGUUUGGAUAUAAUUUCAUAAUAAGGCCUCUGAAGGUCGUUUGAAAUACUGCACUAAUUAAUGUUUUAUUUCCAGCCUUCCUUAAUUAUUCUAGCCAGAUGGUCCUUUAUUUAUGUUAUUGCUAGAGGUUUCCAGCUGAGGUUGUUUGAUUGUUGAAGAAAAAUAUGUGAUGGCACCAUAAGAUAACUGUAAUUGAAUUGUUAGGUAUGUUCGAGCAUUCACGCCUUCUGUCCCUGUUUUAGCCACAUCUGGGAAAUAAGUUUGUUAACAAAGCACUUUGACACCUCAUCUGAUAACUUGAGUGGAAUUCUGAACUGUGCAGAAGGAAUUCAGAUGGGAAAAUGACUCUGCGUUUAUUGUAAAAGGAUACACUUUGCAAACAUCUCUCUGUGCAAAAUUUGUUUUGUGGAUGAUAGGAAA